CCUACGGGGGGCUGCAGUUUCGAAUCCUUCACGAUGGGCGAAAGCCUGAUGGUGCGACGCCGCGUGAGGGAUGAAGGCCUUCGGGUUGUAAACCUCUGUCACUGGGGAAGAAACGCUUCAAGUUAAUAGCUUGAAGCCUGACUUAACCCAGAGAGGAAGCAGUGGCUAACUCUGUGCCAGCAGCCGCGGUAAUACAGAGACUGCAUGCGUGAUUCGAAUUCACUGGGCGUAAAGGGUGCGCAUUCGGCCUGAAAGCCCGGGGCUUAACCUCGGAAUUGCGCCUAAAACUACACGGCUAGAGCAUUGGAGAGGGUAGCGGAAUUCACGGUGUAGCAGUGAAAUGCGUAGAUAUCGUGAGGAACACCAGAGGCGAAGGCGGCUACCUGGACAAUUGCUGACGCUCAGGCACGAAAGCGUGGGGAGCAAAAGGGAUUAGAUACCCCAGUAGUC
rnacentral:rRNA from 1 species